rnacentral:rRNA from 1 species
AUUGAACGCUGGCGGCAGGCCUAACACAUGCAAGUCGAGCGAGCGGCGCACGGGUGUGUAAUGUCUCGGAAACUGCCUGAGUGAGGGGGAUAACUACUGUAAACGGUGGCUCAUACCGCAUACCCUCAGGUGUGCCCCGAGGGGAUUAGCUAGUAGGGGGGGUAACGGCUCACCUAGGCGACGAUCCCUAGCUGGUCUGAGAGGAUGACCAGCCACAAUGGAACUGAGACACGGUCCAGACUCCUACGGGAGGCAGCAGUGGGGAAUAUUGCACAAUGGGCGCAAGCCUGAUGCAGCCAUGCCGCGUGUGUGAAGAAGGCCUUCGGGUUGUAAAGCACUUUCAGCGGGGAGGCGUUACCCGCAGAAGAAGCACCGGCUAACUCCGUGCCAGCAGCCGCGGUAAUUC